rnacentral:misc_RNA from 1 species
UUUCCGUAGGUGAACCUGCGGAAGGAUCAUUAACACGUAUUCUUACGUACUUCCAAACACCCCUCUGCGAACAAACAAAAAUCCAGCCUUCACCGGCUGGUAACCUCUAAAAACCAAAAUCCUAGAUUUCAUUCCCUCGUGGAUGGGAUCUAUGUCGCUGCAACCGGUUCCUUCGGGGACCCGCUUGGGCCGCUGCCUUCCCCUAACCGGGGGGCUAUGCGUGUUUAUCAAGCCAGCGUUAACCCAACAAAACCCUUGAACCUAACUGCUCUGAAACCUUUAACCUUUCGAGGUUAACCAAACACAAAAACAACUCUUAACAACGGAUAUCUUGGCUCUC